GGCUUCUUGAUCCUAUGUGUUGUAUUGAGUGUUGGUCACUGGUCUUUGGGAAGCUUGGACAGAAGUGGGGCAGCCAUGGAGCUGCUGACUGGGACUGGCCUGUGGCCCGUGGUCAUAGUCACAGUCAUCUUCAUAUUACUGGUGGACAUGUUGCACCGGUGCCAGCGCUGGACUUCUUGCUGCCCACCAGACCCUGUGCCAUGGCCUGUGCUGGGUAACCUGCUGCAGGUGGACCUGGAUAACAUGCCAUAUAACUUGUACAAGGUGUGGUCCUUGCUCCUUAUGGGCCUGAGUGGAAAGAGCAGAGGUGAUUCUCUGCGUCGACCCUGUGCAACUUCAGCCUGGGCAAGAAAUCACUGGAGCAGUGGGUGAUGGAAGAGGUUGGACACCUCUUUGAUGUCUUCACUGCCCAUGCUGGCUGUAGACAAGAGAUUUGGAAAGAACACAUCUAGAAGUGUCCACCACAGUAAUAGGAGCCUGGAGAUUGACAUACAGCAAAAGGAAGUGAGAAGCUGACCAAGGUCAGGGCUUCUAGAAGCUGAGACCCUGGCCCUCUGCCCACAUGGAACAUCUGUGAGAUUUUCCAGGUUCUGAACACAUUCCCAAUUCUCCUACGCAUCCCAGGGUUGGCUGACAAAGUCUUCCCUGGGCAAAAGACAUUUCUCAUAAUGGUGGAUAAGCUGGUGACUGAGCACAAGAGGACCUGGAACUCGGACCAGCCGCCUCGAGACCUGACUGAUGCCUUUAUGGCUGAGAUGGAGAAGGCAAAGGGAAACCCUGAGAGUAGCUUCAAUGAUGCAAAUCUAUGUCUGGUUGUCCUUGACCUGCUGGGUGCUGCAACUGUGACCACCUCAACCACACUGUCCUGGGCCCUGCUGCUUAUGAUCCUGCAUCCGGAUGUGCAGUGUGAGCCUGGCUGGGGCUGUCAAGAAAGGAGGAGGAGGGUAGAGGCAAACUCCUUAAACUUACUUGGGACACUUGUAGAUCCCAGCAUUGAGUUAACCCAGACUGCAGUAAGUAUGGUUGCCUUAUUUCUCCCAUGGACCCAGCCCUUAACAGAGAGGUAGUGGAUGGACAAGGGGCACCCACUGAAGCAUCUUAACUGAUGGGAAAAUGUCCUUCCAGGCCAAGUACAACAGGAAAUCGAUGAGGUCAUUUGGUAUGUGUGGCUUCCAGAGAUGGCAGACCAGGUCUGCAUGCCCUUCACCAAUGCUGUCAUUCAUGAGGUACAGUGCUUACAGUUACUGGGAUAUCAUCCCAAUAACUUUGCCACACAGGACUUCUCGUGACAUUGAAGUGUGGGGCUUUCUUAUCCCUAAGGUAGGUCUGGGUCUCUCCAGUGUCUAGUCAGUGUUGCCAGCUACCCGCUGACUUGAUCUGCCCAGUUAAGAAGGACUAGAUUACAGGCAUUCCAAUUCUCAACUCAAGGGAACCAACAUCCCCUGGGUAAAUAUGGGAAUAGAAACAAGAGCAAUAACUGCUUUAGAAUCCCUACCUAGAAAUGCAGGCAAGGUAAAAUAUGGCAGGAGUGGUUGUAACAGCCACUACCUACAAAUACAGGUCACAGUGUGUACAUCUGUCCCAUCACAUUUCCAUGUCACAGUAUUAAUGAAAUCUGUGAAGCUUCUGUGGUUAGUUUAUAUGACAGCAUCCAGUGUGUGUGUGGUACAGGCUGUGCCUGUGAAUGUCGUGACUAGUAAGGGUCUAGUAAAACUCACCCUGUUCAUGUUCACACAAUGUGCUUCAUGCCAGGGCAUGACUCUCAUCUCCAACCUGUUCCGUGCUGAAGGAUGAGACUGUCUGGGAGAAGCCCCUUCGCUUCCAUCCUGAACACUUCCUGGAUGCCCAGGGCCACUUUGUGAAGCCUGAGGCCUUCAUGCCAUUCUCAGCAGGUGCCUCUAGGGUGCCUUCCUGCCUAUCUUUCCCUAGGGUGCCUUGGAGGGUGGAGCACCAAUCAGGUCCCAGACUGAGCCCUCUUCUACACAUAGGCCACAGAUCAUGCCUGGGGGAGCCCCUGGCCCUCAUGGAGCUCUUCCUCUUCUUCACCUGCCUCCUGCAGCGCUUUAGCUUCUCAAUGCCAGCUGGACAAUCCCUUCCCAGUGAUUAUGGCAUCUAUACAAUGCCAGUUACUCCAGCACCUACCAGCUCUGUGCAGUGGUUUGCUAGCAGGGGCAGUGGCUCCAGCCAUCAUCACAGAUUGUUCUGACUGAUGUCCAAUAAACAAGUUUUGUGUCU
rnacentral:lncRNA from 1 species